CGAUGACAGGCGAGGCAGCCCGUUCUUCUCAUGGUCAUGGACGAGGUUCUCCGGGAUCUCUUCCACACCCGAAAAAUCUCCUAUCAAUGACAACGAUCAGACAAAAAGUCCGAUGACGAGGUGUCUGGCAGAACAAGAUCUUGUGCUUGUCGCAGACAAAGAUGCGGUCCAGGACAAACUUGCUGAUGGGGAUGCGAGUCAAAUUCUCCAGGCUUCUGUUUUUACAUCCAACAGAGAGCAGUUGUAGCCGCUUCUCAACGAUGGAGUCCCACUCGUGCAUCUCGGAAACGGCCGAGGACUGAGCCAUCAUCUGAAAACACACGCACAAAGUAAGUCAUAAUAAACACGUGACGGCUCGCCUUGUUUUGAUGACUACCUGCUCUGGAUCCUGCAAAACCGGGUUUCCUGCAGUGGACAGGGUAACCUUCCCUGUUGUUUGUCCCGACACAGUCAAGUUUGGACUACCAACUCGCUCCUCAUAUUCUGGAACAUAUUAACGAGGGUGCUUUUACGCACACACAUGACACACACACGUUAUGCCUGGAAGAACCCACCUUCGACACUUUUGUGCCCAAUGAGCUUAGUCGCAAACACAAGGAUGAGCAGCACCCAGCCGCAAGCCCCGAGGAACAUCCAGUGGUGCCGCAUCGCUGCAUCAGCCCGCGGCCAAAGGAAGCUCUCUCGCCUUUUGACACCUACUUCGGGCUAUAGCUGUUUUGCGCAAAAACGCAUUGUGGAGGAACCGACGAGGCCCGCUCGGUUUAAAGCCGAAACAUCUCCAUUCACGAUUUGGCGUUCUUGUCAGUGCCCAGAGAAUGAUGACAACACUAGCCUAGCUGUUAGCUCCCCCUAAAAAUUAGCCGUGGAGCGGUCCAGUCGCUCCAGGUCUGCGCCCCGAAAGUUUGCCGCACGCGGCUGUUGGAACGGCAUUAUUCGGUUUGUGGAAGGCGUGCUGGUGUCGAGCGCUUUUAGUGACAAUAGCCGACCAACUGGUAAAACAACACGGACUGGCCGGAAUAAUUGCUUCUCAUCACUAGUGAAUACAUCUAAGUACAUAGCACGUUACAUGGAGAGCGGUGCGGUA